rnacentral:lncRNA from 1 species
CUCCUUGGUUGGUGACAGAAAAUUUAUAGCACGACUUUUAAUGCUCCUUGGUUGGGGUCUGAGCAGAUUAUUUGUUGCAAUUGCAAACGUAAUAAAAUGGUGGUCCGAUAGUCCAGGAUUAUGAGGAAAAACAUUUAGAUCCACAACAUUUAUUCCAUGGGACAAAACUAGGUCCAGAGUAUGACUGUGGCAGUGAGUAGGUCCAGAGACAUGUUGGACAAAACCCACUGAGUCGAUGAUGGCUCCGAAAGCCUUUUGGAGUGGGUCUGUGGACUUUUCCAUGUGAAUGUUAAAGUCACCAAAAAUUAGAAUAUUAUCUGCUAUGACUACAAGAUCCGAUAGGAAUUCAGGGAACUCAGUGAGGAACACUGCAUAUGGCCCAGGAGGCCUAUAAACAGUAGCUAUAAAAAGUGAGUGAAUAGGCUGCAUAGAUUUCAUGACUAGAAGCUCAAAAGACGAAAACGUCAUUGUUGUUUUUUUUUUUGUAAAUUGAAAUUUGCUAUCGUAAAUGUUAGCAACACCUCCGCCUUUGCCGGAUGCACGGGGGGUAUGGUCACUAAUGUAACCAGGGGGUGAGGCCUCAUUUAACACAGUAAAUUCAUCAGGCUUAAGCCAUGUUUCAGUCAGGCCAAUCACAUCAAGAUUAUUAUCAGUGAUUAGUUAAUUGACUAUAACUGCCUUGGAAGUGAGGGAUCUAACAUUAAGUAACCCAAUUUUGAGAUGUGAGGUAUCACAAUCUCUUUCAAUAAUGGCAGGAAUGGAGGAGGUCUUUAUACUAGUGAGAUUGCUAAAGCGAACACCGCCAUUUUUAAUUUUGCCCAACCUAGAUCGAGGCACAGACACGGUCUCAAUGGGGAAAGCUGAGCUGACUACGCUGACUGUGCUAGUGGCAGACUCCACUAAGCUGGCAGGCUGGCUAACAGCCUGCUGCCUGGCCUGCACCCUAUUUCAUUGUGGGGCUAGAGGAGUUAGAGCCCUGUCUAUGUUCGUAGAUAAGAUGAGAGCACCCCUCCAGCUAGGAUGGAGUCCGUCACUCCUCAACAGGCCAGGCUUGGUCCUGUUUGUGGGUGAGUCCCAGAAAGAGGGCCAAUAAUCUACAAAUUCUAUCUUUUGGGAGGGGCAGAAAACAGUUUUCAACCAGCGAUUGAGUUGUGAGACUCUGCUGUAGAGCUCAUCACUCCCCCUAACUGGGAGGGGGCCAGAGACAAUUAAUCGAUGCCGACACAUCUUUCUAGCUGAUUUACACGCUGAAGCUAUGUUGCGCUUGGUGACCUCUGACUGUUUCAUCCUAACAUCGUUGGUGCCGACGUGGAUAACAAUAUCUCUAUACUCUCUACACUCGCCAGUUUUAGCUUUAGCCAGCACCGUCUUUAGAUUAGCCUUAACGUCGGUAGCCCUGCC